rnacentral:misc_RNA from 1 species
GAAAUGCGAUAAUUAAUGUGAAUUGCAGAAUUCAGUGAAUCAUCGAGUCUUUGAACGCACAUUGCGCCCCCUGGUAUUCCGGGGGGCAUGCCUGUCCGAGCGUCAUUGCUGCCCUCAAGCACGGCUUGUGUGUUGGGCUUCCGUCCCUGGCAACGGGGACGGGCCCAAAAGGCAGUGGCGGCACCAUGUCUGGUCCUCGAGCGUAUGGGCCUUUGUCACCCGCUCCCGUAGGUCCAGCUGGCAGCUAGCCUCGCAACCAAUCUUUUUAACCAGGUUGACCUCGGAUCAGGUAGGGAUACCCGCUGAACUUAAAC